CGUCCCCUGCUAUGUUUGAGGUUAGGCGAAUAAAACCCUUGGACCUAAUAACAAUACAGGGAAUAGAGAUUACUUUGUUGGUGUGCACGCUCUAAUACAGAGAAGCCUAAUGCAAAUGUCCAACUCCCACUUGAACCUCACGGUUCAAGGUAGAAACCUGACUACGGCACUUGUGGGGGACGU
rnacentral:other from 1 species